CGGGACCCGGUGUUCGCCUCUUCAGACCUGUGCGGCACUCAGUGCGGCGUGGGUUUCCUCCCUCGUUUCUGCGGCAGGACGCUGUAGCCCUAUCCUGGUAGUGGUGACGGAAAUGGGAGACAGGCGAUGAAAAGGUGGCAGGUUUCCUCUAAGAGCUGCAGAAAAAUGAUCAAUUUACAGGUCUCUCAUCUGAGAAACUCCAUAGACAACAGGAGGAGGGGUAGAGAAUCCAUUGUUCCCAGCCUGGUGUGAGAAGCCUGUGAAAGGACAGCUGUGUAGGUCAAGGCAAGGAUCAUGCAAUGGUCUGUCUGUUCCAGUUCACUGUAAAUUAAGAGUCAUGGAAUUUGUACUAGGGUAAUCUGCCUUUCAUAAAUUAGUUGUCUCCUUUCUCAGGUGGAAAAAGAAAUACAGUAGAAUAAGUUAAAAUGUAUUUGCAGUUCUAGACAAAUAUAAACUGCCACCUAAAGAGUUUCUGUCACUAAUCUCAUUCUCUUAAUCUCUACAAGAUUUUUGUCAAGAAAAAAUAAAGACAAAACUCAUUAAGGCUAAGUUUAAGAC
rnacentral:lncRNA from 1 species